GUUUAAAAAAAAAAAAAAAAAAAAGUGCUAAAAUUUGGAACUCUGAAAUUUUUUUCCUCAAGCUCCAAUUUCACCACUGUGCAUUCCCAUAGUUUCUCUUUCCCUCUAGUUACAAUAAAAGAGGUAUCCCUCAUUCCACAUAUUCAUAUAUAUU